CACGUAGGCGGAUAUUUAAGUCAGGGGUGAAAUCCCAGAGCUCAACUCUGGAACUGCCUUUGAUACUGGGUAUCUUGAGUAUGGAAGAGGUAAGUGGAAUUGCGAGUGUAGAGGUGAAAUUCGUAGAUAUUCGCAGGAACACCAGUGGCGAAGGCGGCUUACUGGUCCAUUACUGACGCUGAGGUGCGAAAGCGUGGGGAGCAAACA
rnacentral:rRNA from 1 species